GGUCAAGAUCCAUGCAACCUAGAACGAUCAUGACGUUCUCUUUCUAUUCCUUAAAGUUUGUGCCGUUAAGCACAGGGAUUCUAUUGAUGUUGGCAGAGAUCGUAGAAACAGAAGAAUUAACUGAAAAUAGAACAAAAGGAUUACUGAAUAUAUGCUUACAAUUACUUGAACUUUAACUUUACUUUAUAGAUUCAAAAUAGGCAUAUCCCAUUACAAGAUACCAAGCACAACAUUGAUUUUAGUCUUUGGACAGAAAAAUAACUUGUAAGUGGUACUCUUGGUGUAGUGAUCAAACAUAGACA
rnacentral:lncRNA from 1 species